CCCCCCGGAGCCGAGGCGACGGGAGCCGGUCAGGGCGGGGCCGCCGACGGAGUUGUAGGCUGUCAUCUUUCCUGGGACGUAAGACGCCCUUGGUGUAGCAGCACUAUUUCGAAGGUCACUGUUUCUCUGUGUUACAGAAAAUGUUGAGUUCAAGACUUGUCAUGGUGAUGAAGAGUGGAUACUUUACUUACAAUAAUGCGGAACAGAAGAGAUCGUGGGACGAGUGAAAUAGAACCACCACCAACCACACAAAGGCCGAUCUUCAUCCAAAGAAAGUGAUGUGUAUGUAGUGGGAUUGGGAGGGAGUCCUCUAUUAGGAGCUCCUUCUGGAAAACCGAACGAUUCAUUCCAACAAGUACUGCUCCCAAUUAGACCAACUGAAAGCAGCGCUCAACGAAAAGCACAUGGAAGUAAUCAACAGAAAACGCAUAAUCUUCCAUCAGGAUAAGGGAGGACCGCAUGUUUCUUUGAUGACCAGGCAAAAUCUGUUACAGCCUGGCUGGGAAGUUCUGAUUUAUCUGCCAUAUUCACCAGACACUGCACCUCCUGAUUUCCAUUUAUUUCGGUCUUUACACCAUUCUCUUAAUGGAGAAAAAUUUCAGUUCCCUGGAAGACUGCAAAAGGCCCCUGGAAAAAUUCUUUGCUGAAAAAGAGAAUAAGUUUUGGGAUGAUGGAAUUAUGAAAUGGACUGAAAUAUGGCUGAAGGUAGUGGAACAAAAUAGUGAAUAUGUUCAAUAAA